AGAAGUUGGAGGAGGCUGGAGGCUGGAAGAGGCUGAUGGCUGCAGGACAUUAGAGGAGACUGGAGGACGUUGGAGGAUGGAAGAGACUGGAGAAGGAUGGAGGAAGGAGGUUGGAGGGUGGAGGAAGUUGGACGAGGAUGGAGGAAGUUG